GCAACAGCUCAAAUUUGAAAUCUGGCCCCGCCCCCCGGGGUGGGGCCCGAGUUGUAAUUUGCAGAGGAUGCUUCGGGCGAGGCGCCUUCCGAGUCCCCUGGAAUGGGGCGCCGCAGAGGGUGAGAGCCCCGUACGGUCGGCCGCCGAGCCCGUGUGAAGCUCCUUCGACGAGUCGAGUAGUUUGGGAAUGCUGCUCAAAACGGGAGGUAAAUGCCUUCUAAAGCUAAAUACCGGCCAGAGACCGAUAGCGCACAAGUAGAGUGAUCGAAAGAUGAAAAGCACUUUGGAAAGAGGGUCAAACAGCACGUGAAAUUGUUGAAAGGGAAGCGCCCGCGACCAGACUCGGGCGCGGCGGAUCACCCGGCGUUCUCCGCCGGUGCACUCCGCCGCGCCCGGGCCAGCGUCGGCUCCCGCGGGGGGAUAAAGGCGCGGGGAACGUGGCUCCUCCGGGAGUGUUAUAGCCCCGCCCGCCAUGCCACCGCAGGGGCCGAGGACCGCGCUCCGGCACGGACGCUGGCGUAAUGGUCGCUAGCGACCCGUCUUGAAACACGGACCAAGGAGUCAAGGUUUUGCGCGAGUGCCAGGGUGUCAAGCCCGCGCGCGUAAUGAAAGUGAGCGUAGGUGGGAGCCUCGGCGCACCACCGACCGAUCCCGAGGUACUCCGACGGAUUUGAGUAAGAGCGUCAAGCCUUGGACCCGAAAGAUGGUGAACUAUGCUUGGAUAGGGUGAAGCCAGAGGAAACUCUGGU
rnacentral:rRNA from 1 species